GAUGAAGAACGCAGCGAAAUGCGAUACGUAAUGUGAAUUGCAGAAUUCAGUGAAUCAUCGAAUCUUUGAACGCAUAUUGCGCUCUCUGGUAUUCCGGAGAGCAUGCUUGUUUGAGUAUCAGUAAACACCUCAACUCCCUUUUCUUUUUUGAAAUUGGAGCUGGACUUGAGUGAUCCCAACGCUUUCUUCCAAGAAAGUGGCGGGUUGCUUGAAAUGCAGGUGCAGCUGAACUUUUCUCUGAGCUAUAAGCCUAUCUAUUUAGUCUGCCUAAAAAACACAUUAUUACCUUUGCUGCAGCUAACAUAAAGGAGACUAGUUCUUGUGCUGACUGAUGCAGGAUUCACAGAGACAGCUUCGGCUGACUUUGUAAACUCGAUCUCAGAUCAAGUAAGACUACCCGCUGAACUUAAGCAUAUCAAUAAGCGGAGGA
rnacentral:misc_RNA from 1 species